AACCCAAUAAAAGAGGGACGAAAGAUACCAAAGGGACAGUCAAACUCAUAAAUCUAAAACAAACUGACAACGCCAUGGCUAAAAAUGAAAAAGACAAACAGAAAAACAAUAGUACACAUGACACAACAUAAAAAACUAAAGAAUAAACAACACGAACCCCACCAAAAACUAGGGGUGAUCUCAGGUGCUCCGGAAGGGUAAGCAGA
rnacentral:lncRNA from 1 species